ensembl:snoRNA
AUCUUUCUGGUUCAUGAGUAUGAUGAUCGGUGUACUCACAGUAUAUCUGUGAUAGGUGCAGCCCUCACCUUGUUACGCUCUGCGCCUCAGCCCUUCUGACC